ensembl:lncRNA
CACCACUGUACUAACCUGUCACACACUGAAGACCUAUAGGUUCACCACUGUACUAACCUGUCACACACUGAAGACCUAUAGGUUCACCACUGAAGACCUAUAGGUUCACCACUGUACUAACCUGUCACACUGAAGUCCUAUAGGUUCACCACUGUACUAACCUGUCACACACUGAAGACCUAUAGGUUCACCACUGUACUAACCUGUCACACUGAAGACCUAUAGGUUCACCACUGUACUAACCUGUCACACACUGAAGUCCUAUAGGUUCACCACUGUACUAACCUGUCACACACUGAAGGUCUAUAGGUUCACCACUGUACUAACCUGUCACACACUGAAGACCUAUAGGUUCACCACUGUACUAACCUGUCACACACUGAAGACCUAUAGGUUCACCACUGUACUAACCUGUCACACUGAAGACCUAUAGGUUCACCACUGCAGAAACAUGU